UACGAAGGGUGCAAACGUUGCUCGGAAUUAUUGGGCGUAAAGCGCACGUAGGCGGCUUUGCAAGUCCCAUGUGAAAUCCCACGGCUCAACCGUGGAAGUGCAUAGGAAACUGCAGAGCUUGAGUACUUAAGAGGAUCGCGGAAUUCCCGGUGUAGAGGUGAAAUUCGUAGAUAUCGGGAGGAACACCAGUGGCGAAGGCGGCGAUCUGGGAAGAUACUGACGCUGAGGUGCGAAAGCGUGGGGAGCAAACAGG
rnacentral:rRNA from 1 species